rnacentral:rRNA from 1 species
GACGAACGCUGGCGGCGUGCUUAACACAUGCAAGUCGAACGCGCCUGUCCUCUGGGUUUCUGGGGGGUGGGUGAGUGGCGAACGGGUGAGUAACACGUGAGUAACCUUCCCCCUUCUUCUGGAUAACGGUCUGAAAGGGCUGCUAAUACCGGGUAUUCACUUGUCUCCGCAUGGUGGCUGGUGGAAAGGUUUUUUUCUGGUGGGGGAUGGGCUCGCGGCCUAUCAGCUUGUUGGUGGGGUGAUGGCCCACCAAGGCUUUGACGGGUAGCCGGCCUGAGAGGGUGACCGGUCACAUUGGGACUGAGAUACGGCCCAGACUGCUACGGGAGGCAGCAGUGGGGAAUAUUGCACAAUGGGCGAAAGCCUGAUGCAGCGACGCCGCGUGAGGGAUGGAGGGCUUCGGGUUGUGAACCUCUUUCGCCCGUGGUCAAGCCGCGACGUGCGUCGUGGUGAGGGUAGUGGGUAAAGAAGCGCCGGCUAACUACGUG